rnacentral:rRNA from 1 species
AUACGAAAGGUGCAAGCGUUGUUGGGAUUUACUGGGCGUAAAGAGAGUGUAGGUUGUUUAUUAAGUCGGAUGUGAAAUCCCGGGGCUCAACCUCGGAACUGCAUUCGAUACUGGUAGACUAGAGUUCGGGAGGGGUAAGCGGAAUUCCGUGUGGAGCCGUGAAAUGCGUAGAUAUACGGAGGAACACCUGAGGCGAAGGCGGCUUACUGGACCGAUACUGACACUGAGACUCGAAAGCGUGGGUAGCAAACAGGAUUAGAAACCCCGGUAGUCC